AAUAAAAACUUAAAAAUUUAAAAUUAAUCAAUAGUAAAAAAAAUCAAAAUCCCCAAUUUUCUGAAAACAAUGGGCAGCAUAUCCCUUUGGGAUUUUGUCCCAUCGAAAUUCUCAAAUUUUCUGAAAUUUUCUCUCAAUCAGUAAUCUUUCCUUCUUCCGGGACAGUGUUUCGGGCUUCCCUUUUUUGAUUCCACCUAGAUUUGGGAAAUGCCUUUGUUUUCCUCUGGUUUUCAUUACCUAGGGGCUGGUUUAGGAUUGGGGAAGUGCUCCACCUCGGUUUUCCUUUGUUGGGAUCGGGUUCUUCUUACAGGUCGUCACUAAUGUGUUUAUUGGCGCUCUUUUCUGUUUGACAAAAGACCUUGGCUCUUGUCGUUUGGAAUUUUGGGUUUUGUCUGGGUUUUUGAUGCGGGUCGGGUUUUCUCCACUUUUGUAUACCGAGCUUCUGAAGGGAUUCCGCCCAAUAGCUGAAUGUACCGUCUCCAUGUCAUUAAAGAUUGUACUUUUGCUUGCCUUGUGAGUGGUGUUGGUUGCUACUGUUCUUUCCUUGUUUUGGUUGUUGACCAUUUCUCCUUGCCGAGGGUUAGGGAAUCCAUUAGCAGUUGGCGCACUCAAGGAACUACUUCCGAGUAAAGCGUUUUUGGAACUCGUGCGAGUGUUCUUCGGAGACAGAAUCUACGACGUCAAACACUUAAUGAAAUUCUGCGCUGGAUUACAUGGAGGGCUCGAUCGUGCGUCUACGGAUUUGGGAGUGAAGCGUGCAAUUGGGAAGAGUCAUCAAGCUUGGUUGAAGAUAAAGGAAAUGUAUUUUGCAAAUGGGGACCCAAUUGAAAAGGAGGAGUCUGCCUGGCAUUUGCUGAUGAGGUACUGUGCUGGCUUUACGGAACAGUCAAAGAGAGCACCAAAGCUCUUUGAUUAUUUGGCAGAGGGUUAGUGAAGCACAGGAUAUAGCCACAAAAUUAGGUGGACAAGUCAUUGGUCACACAUGGCUUUUAGAAUCAAUUGCAGCAUGACUGAGCAAUGCUUCCUUUACAGGUGUCAACUUUAUUGACAGCAAUGUGGGAAAUAAGAGCUCGUCAGAAAGGGUGGAGAGAAAAGGUCGCCAAAUCUAAUGCGCAGACACAAGGAUGGGUUGCUUCACACUGCUUGCGGGACUCCAAAUUAUGUUGCUCCGGAGGUUUUCACUCAUGAACUCAGAAAAUAAUUAGCUGUGCUCAAAGAUAAAGGUUAUGAUGGUACAUCAUCUGAUAUUUGGUCUUGCGGAGUUAUUCUCUUUGUUCUCAUGGCUGGUUAUUUGCCUUUUGAUGAGCCAAGCCUUAUAGGCUUGUUUAAGAAAAUCUGGGAGGCUUCUUUCAGCUGUCCAUCAUGGUUUUUAUCUGGUGCUAGGAAUUUGAUUAAGCGUAUUCUUGAUCCAAACCCUCUUACCGUUUAACUAUUCCUGAAAUUCUACAAGAUGAAUGGUUCAAGAAAGGGUACAAGCCACCAAAAUUUGAGCAAGAUGAGGAUGGUCCGUUUGGAAGCCAGGAAAACAUUUUCCGGAAAAUAUUUUCCUGGUUUUACCGUGUUUGGAUGCUUGAAAACAUUUUCCAAAGGGAAAAUAUUUUACUGGACACGGGUAAAAUCCCCUUCAAUUUGGGGAAAACGUCUUACCGAUUUCAAUUGUGUAAGACAUUUUCCAUCUCCUCUUCAUCCAGGCAAAAUUUACACACGCUGCUGUUUCGUUUUCUGUCUUCCCCUCUUUCUCAGGAUCUCAUUCUUCCUUGCAAGAUGGAUCGUAAUCAACAUCAUGCAAUUGUCGGAGUCGUGACUUCAGUUUUAGCUUUUGGGGCUCUCUGGAUUAAAAAAUUAAAAACUAGGAAGAAAAUUACUUCUGACCCUCAUGUAAAUAGAGAUUAUGAAAGGGAAAAUUAUAUUAAUAGUAUUUUAUAUAGUGGUGACCAGCAUUGUAUUGAUGUGAUAAGGAUGAGACCGAUUGUAUUUUUUAAUUUGUAUGAUAUUCUUAGUAGAAAUAAUUUGUUACAAUCAACUAAAUCGGUGAAUAUUAGGGAGCAAGUGAUUAUAUUUUUACAUAUAAUUGGUCAUAAUGUAAGGUUUCGAGUGAUAGGAUUUAGAUAUUAUAGAUCAACUGAGACAAUUUACCGUUAUUUUAGGGUUGUAUUGAGAGCUAUUUUGAAAUUGUAUAAGUUAGUUAUUAGAUUAUCUGAUGAGUCAAUUCCUAGUGAAAUCAGAAACAAUCCAAAGUUUUAUCCUUAUUUUAAAGAUUGUAUUGGAGCAGUAGAUGGAACUCAUGUUCGUGCAUCCGUUCCACUUAACAUUCAAGGAAGAUUUCGUAGCCGUAAAGGGGGGACGACACAAAAUGUAUUGGCUGCCAUUACAUUUGAUUUGAAAUUUUCCUAUGUUCUAGCUGGUUAGGAAGGUAGUGCACAUGAUUCUCGUAUUUUAAGUGAUGCACUUUCACGCCCAAGAGGAUUAAGAAUUCCGGAAGGUAAAUAUUAUCUUGCUGAUGCUGGAUAUGGCAUUCGUAAUAGAUUUAUUACCCCAUAUCGUGGUGUUCGAUAUCACUUAAAAGAGUUUAGUGCUCAGGGGCUUGAAAAUGCAAAGGAACUCUUUAAUCUUCGUCAUUCAUCAUUACGAAUCACUAUUGAACGUGUUUUCGGGAUUUUGAAGAAACGGUUUCGUGUAUUAGAUGCUGAACCAUUUUGGAAUUUUCAAACUCAAGUAGAUAUAGUUUUAGCUUGUUGCAUCAUUUAUAGUCAUAUCAUGGGAGUUGAUCCUAGUGAUUUAUUUAAUCAAGAAUUAUACGAGGAGCCUGAGUCUGAUUUGAUAAUAUCAACUCUUACGGAGCGAGAAGAAAGAGAAGAAGCAAGAGAAUGGUCUGCUAAGAGAGAUGAAAUUGCACAAACUAUGUGGACUGAUUAUAUGGCUAGAAAUAUUAGGUAGGUUUAGGGCUUAGGGUUGUUGUUUCUAUGUUAUGUAUGUUUUAGUAUUAAAAUUGUUUUUUUUUUUGUUAAUGUUGGAAUCUAAAAUUUUAGUUUAUUAUAUUUGUUGGAUUCUGAAA